rnacentral:tRNA from 1 species
GCAGAAUUAGCUCAGCUGGGAGAGCACCUGCCUUACAAGCAGGGGGUCGGCGGUUCGAUCCCGUCAUUCUGCA